rnacentral:rRNA from 1 species
AGUGAACGCUGGCGGUAGGCCUAACACAUGCAAGUCGAACGGCAGCACAGUAAGAGCUUGCUCUUACGGGUGGCGAGUGGCGGACGGGUGAGGAAUACAUCGGAAUCUACUUUUUCGUGGGGGAUAACGUAGGGAAACUUACGCUAAUACCGCAUACGACCUACGGGUGAAAGCAGGGGAUCUUCGGACCUUGCGCGAUUGAAUGAGCCGAUGUCGGAUUAGCUAGUUGGCGGGGUAAAGGCCCACCAAGGCGACGAUCCGUAGCUGGUCUGAGAGGAUGAUCAGCCACACUGGAACUGAGACACGGUCCAGGCUCCUACGGGAGGCAGCAGUGGGGAAUAUUGGACAAUGGGCGCAAGCCUGAUCCAGCCAUACCGCGUGGGUGAAGAAGGCCUUCGGGUUGUAAAGCCCUGUUGUUGGGAAAGAAAAGCAGCAGGUUAAUACCCCGCUGUUCUGACGGUACCCAAAGAAUAAGCACCGGCUAACUUCGUG